rnacentral:rRNA from 1 species
UGCGAAGGGGGCUAGCGUUGCUCGGAAUUACUGGGCGUAAAGGGCGCGUAGGCGGCACUGUUAGUCAGGCGUGAAAUUCCUGGGCUCAACCUGGGGACUGCGCUUGAUACGGCAGAGCUUGAGGAUGGAAGAGGGUCGCGGAAUUCCCAGUGUAGAGGUGAAAUUCGUAGAUAUUGGGAAGAACACCGGUGGCGAAGGCGGCGACCUGGUCCAUUACUGACGCUGAGGCGCGACAGCGUGGGGAGCAAACAGG